rnacentral:rRNA from 1 species
GGACCGCGAAAUGCUCAUUAAAUCAGCUAUGGUUCCUUAGAUGGUACGUACAGUUACUUGGAUAACUGUGGCAAUUCUAGAGCUAAUACAUGCAAACCGAGUUCCGACCGCUUCGCAGGCGGAAGGAAUGCUUUUAUUAGAUCAAAACCAAUCGGACUCCUCCGCGGGUCCGUCACGCCUUGGUGACUCUGAAUAACUUUGAGCUGAUCGCACGGUCCCGCACCGGCGACGCAUCUUUCAAAUGUCUGACUUAUCAACUUUCGAUGGUAGGCUCUGCGCCUACCAUGGUCGUAACGGGUAACGGGGAAUCAGGGUUCGAUUCCGGAGAGGGAGCCUGAGAAACGGCUACCACAUCCAAGGAAGGCAGCAGGCGCGCAAAUUACCCUCUCCCGGGAAAA